GAAGCUGUAUUUUCAGGGUUCAUUUCCAUAGGGUCCCCCCACCCCCGGAAAACUCCUCUGCAUGCAGAGUGCUAGAAAAUAUCAGGAUGAGGUCCCAGUCUCCGAGUGGGAAGCUGGCUUUUGGUGUUGUCUUGCUUGAAUUUCCAUUUGCCCAUGAGGGUCAUUCUUCUCUCCCUUUGGGAGAGGAAGAGGGCAGGGUGCAAUCUGAGUGGU